rnacentral:rRNA from 1 species
AUUGAACGCUGGCGGCAGGCCUAACACAUGCAAGUCGAACGAGUGGCGGACGGGUGAGUAAUGUCUGGGAAACUGCCUGAUGGAGGGGGAUAACUACUGGAAACGGUAGCUAAUACCGCAUAACAUCAGAUGUGACCAAAUGGGAUUAUCUAGUUGGUGGGGUAACGGCUAACAAAGGCGACAAACCCUAGCUGGUCUGAGAGGAUGACCAGCCACACGGGAACUGAGACACGGUCACGACUCCUACGGUAGGCAGCAUUGGGGAAUAUUGCAAAAUGGGCGCAAGCCUGAUUCAGCCAUGCAGCGUGUAUGAAGAAGGUCUUCGGGUUGUAAAGUACUUUCAGCGGGGAGGCGUUACCAUCAGAAGAAGCACCGGCUAACUCCGUGCCAGCAGCCGCGGUAAUAC